AUGGCCUGGCUUCCCUUCUGCCUCCUGCCCCUCGUCGUCUCCACAGGUCUCUGUGGUCCUCUUGUGCUCACCCAGCCCCCAUCUGCCUCUGCCGCCCCGGGGGCCUCGGCCAAGCUCACCUGCACCCUGAGCCAGGAGCACAGCAGCUACACUAUUCGCUGGUAUCAGCAGAGAGCAGGACAGGCCCCUCGGUUCCUCAUGCGACUUUACAGCAACGGGACCCACACCAAGGGGGACGGGAUCCCUGAUCGCUUCUCGGGCUCCAGCUCUGGGGCCGACCGCUACUUGACCAUCUCCCCCCUCCAGUCUGAGGACGAGGCGGACUAUUACUGUCAGUCUCCCUGCACAUCUGAGCUCAUGAAGCUCCAGAUCUUGGCAGCCUGGGUUCCUAACAACCAAACCCGAGCUGUGGGCACCGAGGAGUCCACCCGGGUCCCUGCUCAGGGCUGA